GUCAGGACAGAGGAUGACUGCAUCAUAAAAGCUUGCACCGUUGGGUUCAGCCUUUGGCCUCUCUUUUCCCGCUAAAUUUCUCUUUGAAUCCGGCUGGAGAAAGAUCUCUGGGUUACACAGUAAAUCUGCAAGGACUUCUUGCCUGGUGAGUUGCACAGAAAAUGAAAGUGAUUAUCAGUGGCUGUGGCAAGACUGAAGGAACCAUGCCAGAACUUCUGAGGGAAGGAAGAGUGUUUGGGACUGAAAAAUCCUUGUCUGGAUCUAGUCCUCAGCCACUCAGAAGCUGGCAUGCCAUGACUCAAAGAGCUGCCAGUCUGGAAUGAAGACAGCGCCCCGAAACUCCCACCUGAAGAGCAGGUGCUUGGAAAAUGCUGCCAGUCCACAGGAAAAAGUUGUUGCUGCUGCUGUCUGCGACCAAGAGGACACUUUAUUUCUUGAAACAACUGGGGGCAAACUGACUCCCAGAUAAGACUUCAGGCCCUACCCACGUGAGAAACCAGCCCUGGGAGGUUCCAUUCACAAGAAUACAGGACAAUGAGCAGCUUUGCUCACCUCAUGCAACCUCCAGGGAUUUCAGCUUCCUUUUCUUGGAGGAAGAAAGUGAAGUGACAUGGGGAAUCACUAGGAACAAUGUCUGUCUUACUGUGUUUCAUGGGACCUGGAGGUUCCUUAGAGACCCCUCAGAAGCAGACAUAGUGGUCAGAGUAAAAGCUUAAGAGUAAGCUGUGCCUCUCCCUCCCCAGGCCCCAUCCCAACCACAGAAGUUCCACCUGCAUCAGUUUUAUAUACCAGACCACUGCAUGAAAUUACAUUUUGACAGAGGAUUAUUCUUUAAAAAUAUAUAAAUCUACCAAACUAGGCCAUAUCAAGUCCUGGUCCAUUCUCCAUUAGUGCAGUAAACAAUUCCACCAAGGAAAAAACAGGUCUGAAAGUGCUUUGCAAACUGUAGAAGGGCAUGCAAAUUCUAGGGGCUGUAAUUAGGAUUAUUCUCCCCAGCAGCAGGGAGUAUUUUGUUUGCCUUCUUCCCGAUAGUUUGGUGAGGGACUGAAGUCGUUUGCCCCCAUACCACAAAUGACUCAUUUCAAAUAACAGACCUGGUGACUUACCGAGUCAAGGCCCACCUUUGGGAAUUCCUGGAUCACCUCUUUGAGCUCCCCUCUCACCCACUUUCCAUUCCAAACACACCUUGCCCACUUCACUGGUCACACAAACCCUUCCAAACUCUUAGAUGCUUGAUAUCUAUUGUGUGUUGCACCACCUUUCUUUCUAAGCCAAACCAUGGGAUGUGGGAAACUGGAAAGGAAACUUGAAUUGAUUUGAGUUGACAUGAGGUCACACUAUUUGGAAAGAAUCCAGAAUGCAAUCAGCAGCCUUGGACUGAGAAAGCCCAGGUCUGAGCAUUGGCUUUCCCCCUUAUCAGAGGAUAACUUAACCUCUGGGAGUUUCAGUAAUCCCAGCCACAAAACAAGGGUAAUCAGACCUUUCCCAUAGUUUAUUAUGAGUAGUCAGUGAAAGAAGACAUCAAGACCAUUU